rnacentral:rRNA from 1 species
UACAGAGGUCUCAAGCGUUGUUCGGAUUCAUUGGGCGUAAAGGGUGCGUAGGCGGCGUGGUAAGUCGGAUGUGAAAUCUCGGAGCUUAACUCCGAAACUGCAUUCGAUACUGCCGUGCUUGAGGACUGGAGAGGAGACUGGAAUUUACGGUGCAGCGGUGAAAUGCGUAGAUAUCGUAAGGAAGACCAGUGGCGAAGGCGGGUCUCUGGACAGUUCCUGACGCUGAGGCACGAAGGCCAGGGGAGCAAACGGG